UGCUUUACAAUGUACACACUCCACUCUUGACUGCCUAAAUGGCAUUGUCAUAAUUUCCGUGCUUCAGCUUGCAUGCACAUUGCCUGCAUCCUGUAGGCAGGUACAAGAAAAAAAAAAAAAAUUGUUGAGCUCUGUCCCUGCUCCUUGCACUUUCACCACUUGUCCCUGGGAGUCUCUAGGCUGGUGUGUACUGUACCUGCCACGAGGAAGGCAGCAUCUGCAAAGCCUCAGGGAAGCACAAUGCAUUAGAUCCUUCCAGCUGUAAGUGUUUGACUUGUGCCUGAAUCGUUUUAUGAAACUGUGAUGAUUAUGAAGAAACCCCAAUGGAGUAUACACACAAAUUUCUGGCAAGCUGUGGAGCAGUAACAGUUCAUGGAGCUGCCUUUCACAAACCUCGAAGUAGCUUUCAUCCUGCUGGCUUUUGUCAUUUUCUCCUUGUUUACCCUGGCAUCUAUCUACAGUGAUCCCCAUGACAACAAAGAAGAGGAAUGCUCCACACAGGAAGGAUACAAGAAAAGGAUCAAAUCCAACAAGAAAAAGACACGUGCAAAUAUGACUGAAGUGAUUUAGAAAAAGAACUGUUACCCAAGUCCACUGUUGGACAUACCGCUGAAAGAGGUAGCUUUGGAAGCUGGUCACCUGAAGACAGUGAGAAAAAGGAUGUGAGAAAGGAAGGACCUGAUCACCCAUCAGAUGGAAUCCAGACGUGACAAUUUGAGUUAAUGAACCAUGACCCAUGAAGCUGUUUCAGCACCUUUUUACAACCCCACUUCAUGGCCUUAAUAAAACUUCCAGGGCUUUUUUUUUUUUACAAAGCACAUCUGCUCGAAAUACUAAAGGGAGAGAAAGUAGAUUCAGAAGUUAUGUUUGGUUUCUUCCCUGCUUUUCAGUCAUGUACAAAGUAUAUUUAAGAUCAGCGUGUUUACUCUUCUAUCUGUUAAGUCAACUGAACAUCAGAAGAUACUAUUUCUACGAGACUGUAUAGUAUUAUUAUAGUAGUUAUUUAAUUUACAUUCACAUUAAUAAGCUGCUAAAGCUGACUCAAAAGUACCAGGCAAAUAUUUUUAAGUUAACCACUAUAAUGGCAUCUAUGUUCAUAUACUGUUUUUGACCCCAGAUAUUUAGAAAGCUAACAGGGUGUCUUAAGAAAAUUAGGUUGAUUGAUCUGCUGCUUUUGAAAGGUGCCUUGAUACUAAGUCCUCCAUUUCUUCACAGAGACAAAACAUUUCUACAGUUUUAGGAUCCCACCCAUUUCCUGUAGGUCUCAAGCACGAGUAUUACACCAGCACUGAUGCUUCUGUGCAGAAGUAAAAAGAAGCAAGGAGAAGGACAAAGUA